rnacentral:rRNA from 1 species
AGUGAACGCUGGCGGCAGGCCUAACACAUGCAAGUCGAACGGCAGCACAGAGGAGCUUGCUCCUUGGGUGGCGAGUGGCGGACGGGUGAGGAAUACAUCGGAAUCUGCCUUAUCGUGGGGGAUAACGUAGGGAAACUUACGCUAAUACCGCAUACGACCUACGGGUGAAAGCGGAGGACCGCAAGGCUUCGCGCGAUAAGAUGAGCCGAUGUCGGAUUAGCUAGUUGGCGGGGUAAUGGCCCACCAAGGCGACGAUCCGUAGCUGGUCUGAGAGGAUGAUCAGCCACACUGGAACUGAGACACGGUCCAGACUCCUACGGGAGGCAGCAGUGGGGAAUAUUGGACAAUGGGCGCAAGCCUGAUCCAGCCAUGCCGCGUGUGUGAAGAAGGCCUUCGGGUUGUAAAGCACUUUUGUCCGGAAAGAAAAGCUUCGGGUUAAUACCCCGGGGUCCUGACGGUACCGGAAGAAUAAGCACCGGCUAACUUCGUG